GAUGAACGCUGGCGGCGUGCCUAAUACAUGCAAGUCGAGCGAACAGACGAGGAGCUUGUUCCUCUGACGUUAGCGGCGGACGGGUGAGUAACACGUGGAUAACCUACCUAUAAGACUGGGAUAACUUCGGGAAACCGGAGCUAAUACCGGAUAAUAUAUUGAACCGCAUGGUUCAAUAGUGAAAGACGGUUUUGCUGGCACUUAUAGAUGGAUCCGCGCCGCAUUAGCUAGUUGGUAAGGUAACGGCUUACCAAGGCGACGAUGCGUAGCCGACCUGAGAGGGUGAUCGGCCACACUGGAACUGAGACACGGUCCAGACUCCUACGGGAGGCAGCAGUAGGGAAUCUUCGGCAAUGGGCGCAAGCCUGACGGAGCAAUGCCGCGUGAGUGAUGAAGGUCUUCGGAUCGUAAAACUCUGUUAUUAGGGAAGAAAAAAUGUGUAAGUAACUAUGCACGUCUUGACGGUACCGAAUCAGAAAGCCACGGCUAACUACGUG
rnacentral:rRNA from 1 species